rnacentral:rRNA from 1 species
GAGUUUGAUCAUGGCUCAGAUUGAACGCUGGCGGAAUGCUUUACACAUGCAAGUCGAGCGGCAGCGCGGGGCAACCUGGCGGCGAGCGGCGAACGGGUGAGUAAUGCAUCGGAACAUGUCCAUUGAUGGGGGAUAGCCCGGCGAAAGCCGGAUUAAUACCGCAUGAGCCCGAGAGGGGAAAGUGGGGGACCGCAAGGCCUCACGUCGAUGGGUUGGCCGAUGUCCGAUUAGCUAGUUGGUGGGGUAAAGGCCCACCAAGGCGAUGAUCGGUAGCUGGUCUGAGAGGAUGAUCAGCCACACUGGGACUGAGACACGGCCCAGACUCCUACGGGAGGCAGCAGUGGGGAAUUUUGGACAAUGGGGGCAACCCUGAUCCAGCCAUUCCGCGUGAGUGAAGAAGGCCUUCGGUUGUAAG